CAGUCGCCGCGGUAAUACAGAGGGUGCGAGCGUUAAUCGGAUUUACUGGGCGUAAAGCGUGCGUAGGCGGCUUUUUAAGUCGGAUGUGAAAUCCCUGAGCUUAACUUAGGAAUUGCAUUCGAUACUGGGAAGCUAGAGUAUGGGAGAGGAUGGUAGAAUUCCAGGUGUAGCGGUGAAAUGCGUAGAGAUCUGGAGGAAUACCGAUGGCGAAGGCAGCCAUCUGGCCUAAUACUGACGCUAAGGUACGAAAGCAUGGGGAGCAAACAGGAUUAGAUACCCCGGUAGUCCCUGUCUCUUAUAC
rnacentral:rRNA from 1 species